rnacentral:rRNA from 1 species
AGUGAACGCUGGCGGUAGGCCUAACACAUGCAAGUCGAACGGCAGCACAGUAAGAGCUUGCUCUUACGGGUGGCGAGUGGCGGGCGGGUGAGGAAUACAUCGGAAUCUACUUUUUCGUGGGGGAGAACGUAGGGAAACUUACGCUAAUACCGCAUACGACCUACGGGGGAAAGCAUGGGAUCUUCGGACCUUGCGCGAUUGAAUGAGCCGAUGUCGGAUUAGCUAGUUGGCGGGGUAAAGGCCCACCAAGGCGACGAUCCGUAGCUGGUCUGAGAGGAUGAUCAGCCACACUGGAACUGAGACACGGUCCAGACUCCUACGGGAGGCAGCAGUGGGGAAUAUUGGACAAUGGGCGCAAGCCUGAUCCAGCCAUACCGCGUGGGUGAAGAAGGCCUUCGGGUUGUAAAGCCCUUUUGUUGGGAAAGAAAAGCAGCAGGUUAAUACCCCGCUGUUUUGACGGUACCCAAAGAAUAAGCACCGGCUAACUUCGUG